GGAGGUAUAGUUCAACGGAGAGCAUAUGCUUAGCAUGCACAAGGUCCUGGGUUCAAUCUCCAGUACCUCCA
rnacentral:tRNA from 1 species